GUAGGUGGCAAGCGUUGUCCGGAAUUAUUGGGCGUAAAGCGCACGCAGGCGGUUCUUUAAGUCUGAUGUGAAAGCCCACGGCUCAACCGUGGAGGGUCAUUGGAAACUGGAGAACUUGAGUACAGAAGAGGAAAGCGGAAUUCCACGUGUAGCGGUGAAAUGCGUAGAGAUGUGGAGGAACACCAGUGGCGAAGGCGGCUUUCUGGUCUGUAACUGACGCUGAGGCGCGAAAGCGUGGGGAGCAAACAGGAUUAGAUACCCUGGUAGUCCACGCCGUAAACGAUGAGUGCUAAGUGUUAGGGGGUUUCCGCCCCCCUUAGUGCUGCAGCUAACGCAUUAAGCACUCCGCCUGGGAUACGGCCGCGAGGCUG
rnacentral:rRNA from 1 species